UAGAUCGGAGUGGGUGACCCCUGCGGAAUGGACGUCACUCACUACAUGGCAUCCGGAAUGGGAGGAAUCCGCGGAGCCGGAGACAUGGUCGCCCGUAUGA
rfam:Thermoplasmatales archaeon BRNA1, complete genome.